GCUCCCGCGUCAAGUUCGCUGGCGUUUGUACCAACACCAAGCGAUUAAACCAAGCUUCGCUGAACCGAAAAAAAAAUGCGAUCACUUGGAAAGGUAUCACACCGCUUGUUUCUGCGCUCACUAUCCACAGAAGGGCCGCUCUCCACGCGAUGGAAGUAUCAGCCACGAUCCAAGGCAGAAUUUUGGGGGCUUGUACUCGGUGCCUCUGUCUUUCCGAUUUCCGUCUGUGUCAUGAACUGGUAUGAAAACCGUAAACUGGAUAAGCCAGAGCUCGCCCCGGACUUUCAGUCAAUGCAGUCUGUAUCCCUAAAGCCAAAAACACAGCUUGGUGGGCCGUUUCGAUUGCGGGAGAGCCGAACCGGGAAGUACAUAACCAAUGACGAACUCUUCCAGAACAAGUGGACACUGCUGUAUUUUGGCUUUUCCAAGUGUUCUGAGAUUUGCCCCAACACGCUAAGGUUUAUCUCCGAAGUGAUGAAAGCCUGCGAUGCGGAAUACGGCUCCGACUCAAAGCUGGCUGCAGAAGAAAAGAAUCUCCAGGCCGUUUUCCUUAGUAUUGAUUUUAUUCGCGACAAGCCAGAUGUCGUCGAGCAGUUUGUGCGCAAAUACGAUCCGCGCGUUCGCGGACUUUGUGGGACACGGGAGGAGGUAGAGGCGGCUGCGCGCGCUUGGAGAGUUUACUACUCGUCUGUGGAUGAAACUGAUGAGGAGCGCGACGCUCGCGAGGCGGCCGGUGUGGCGGCACCACGAAUUGACGACACUUAUCAGUUCGAUCACAGCAGCGCCAUUUAUCUGGUGGGGCCAGACGGCAAAAUGAAGGACUUUUUCUUUAAGGAAAUGGGGCUCAACGAUACUGUAAGCCGAAUCGGAGUUCAUUACAGUGACGUCUACGGCUUCAGUGAUACCCGCCAGGCUACGAGGCCGUGAUUCUGUCACACGAAAAAAAAAUGCAACAUGCCCUUUGCCGUGCUCUCUAGCCCUUUACCAUCAACCACAACUGUUGCUGUUGUUUCUUUUCGUUUGUUUAUCUUGAUUCUUAUGCACGGUUUACCGUGUUGUCACACUC
rnacentral:misc_RNA from 1 species